rnacentral:rRNA from 1 species
UACGAAGGGGGGCUAGCGUUGCUCGGAAUUACUGGGCGUAAAGGGCGCGUAGGCGGCACUGUUAGUCAGGCGUGAAAUUCCUGGGCUCAACCUGGGGACUGCGCUUGAUACGGCAGAGCUAGAGGAUGGAAGAGGCUCGCGGAAUUCCCAGUGUAGAGGUGAAAUUCGUAGAUAUUGGGGAAGAACACCGGUGGCGAAGGCGGCGAGCUGGUCCAUUACUGACGCUGAGGCGCGACAGCGUGGGGAGCAAACAGG